AGAAUAGACAUAUGUGCGAUGCUGGUUUGUUGUCUCUCCUGUUUGGUUCAGAAUCACACAAGUUUCUUUCUUUCCUUUUUUUUAUUUUUUUAUUUUUUAAAUAAGAGCUUUUAAGUCAAUUAAUUCAAUUGAGUGAGACCCAAUGGAACCCUUUUAUUGGCUGGGAAAUAAAAGCUGAUAAAAAUCUUGCAUUGUGUUGGGAAAAAUAUUUUUCCACUGAACAAAUAUCCAACAUAGGGAAAUAAAAGUUGAACAAUGAGCCAAAAAGGGAAACACAAACUUUAUUGAUUGUGGGUAUUGAGAGAAUGACAUUGACAUAUUAUUGAUUGAAAAAUUAAAUAAAAACUGAACGGUCAAUGUUUAGAGGCAUGAGUGAAUUAAGUUAGUUAGAAAUGGAUUGUGUUGACGUGAAAUCAAAUCAAUACAUUUAAUACUAUUACUUUUGAGAGUUUAUGAAAUGAAUUAUCAUUGUGUUUGGCGCGUGAAGUCCCUAACAAUUAAAAAGCGAUCAGACGAUUGUAUAAGGAACAAACUUCUUGAAACAAGGUCUCAAAAAUGGGUGUUUUAUUGGCAAUGAUUUACG
rnacentral:lncRNA from 1 species